CCUACGGGAGGCAGCAGUAGGGAAUAUUGCUCAAUGGGGGAAACCCUGAAGCAGCAACGCCGCGUGGAGGAUGAAGGUUUUCGGAUUGUAAACUCCUUUUGUUAGAGAAGAUAAUGACGGUAUCUAACGAAUAAGCACCGGCUAACUCCGUGCCAGCCGCCGCGGUAAUACGGAGGGUGCAAGCGUUACUCGGAACCACUGGGCGGAAAGAGCGCGUAGGCGGGAUAGCAAGUCAGAUGUGAAAUCCUAUGGCUUAACCAUAGAACUGCAUUUGAAACUGUUAUUCUAGAGUAUGGGAGAGGUAGGUGGAAUUCUUGGUGUAGGGGUAAAAUCCGUAGAGAUCAAGAGGAAUACUCAUUGCGAAGGCGACCUGCUAGAACAUAACUGACGCUGAUGCGCGAAAGCGUGGGGAGCAAACAGGAUUAGAUACCCCAGUAGUC
rnacentral:rRNA from 1 species